rnacentral:rRNA from 1 species
AGUGAACGCUGGCGGUAGGCCUAACACAUGCAAGUCGAACGGCAGCACAGUAAGAGCUUGCUCUUACGGGUGGCGAGUGGCGGACGGGUGAGGAAUACAUCGGAAUCUACUUUUUCGUGGGGGAUAACGUAGGGAAACUUACGCUAAUACCGCAUACGACCUACGGGUGAAAGCAGGGGAUCUUCGGACCUUGCGCGAUUGAAUGAGCCGAUGUCGGAUUAGCUAGUUGGCGGGGUAAAGGCCUACCAAGGCGACGAUCCGUAGCUGGUCUGAGAGGAUGAUCAGCCACACUGGAACUGAGACACGGUCCAGACUCCUACGGGAGGCAGCAGUGGGGAAUAUUGGGCAAUGGGCGCAAGCCUGAUCCAGCCAUACCGCGUGGGUGAAGAAGGCCUUCGGGUUGUAAAGCCCUUUUGUUGGGAAAGAAAAGCAGCAGGUUAAUACCCCGCUGUUCUGACGGUACCCAAAGAAUAAGCACCGGCUAACUUCGUG